rnacentral:rRNA from 1 species
UACGUAGGGGGCAAGCGUUGUCCGGAUUUAUUGGGCGUAAAGCGCGCGUAGGCGGCGCGGUAUGUCGUACGUGAAAUCUCCCGGCUUAACUGGGAGGGGCCGUGCGAAACUGCCGGGCUUGAGGUCGGAAGGGGAAAGUGGAAUUCCGGGUGUAGUGGUGGAAUACGUAGAUAUCCGGAGGAACACCAGCGGCGAAGGCGGCUUUCUGGUCCGAUACUGACGCUGAGGUGCGAAAGCGUGGGGAGCGAUCCGG